CCCUCCCGGCACCCCGAGCCAGCAAACCCCCUGUGUACACUUUCCAUGUUGCUUCCCCAGGCCAGCGGCCACCUGCCGCCAGCCCGACCCCUCCCGCGGUCAACCACGGGCUGAGGCGCCUGGGGGAGGUCCCUGCCCCAACAAAGUGGUUCAAUCAAUGCAGUCUGAGCAGGCCACCUGCCUGAACCAGGUAACAUGUUAAAACUUUCAACAACGGAUCUCUUGGCUCUCGCAUCGAUGAAGAACGCAGCGAAAUGCGAUAAGUAAUGUGAAUGCAGAAUUCAGUGAAUCAUCGAAUCUUUGAACGCACAUUGCGCCCUCUGGCAUUCCUCAGGGCAUGCCUGUUCGAGCGUCAAUAGAAACCCCACUCACCCUCCCGGUGGUACUGGGGGAGGUGGGUCGCCCUCCAGGCGCGAGAUCCACCCCCCUGAAAAGCAUGGGCCCGAGAGACGACGGCUGCGACUGACACUCUAAGCGCUUUCUGAAGCCAGAACCAGUCCACCGCCAUGUCGAGCGGCGCACCACUGGAGCCCCCAUCCAGCACAAACACUCUGGGUUGACCUC
rnacentral:sRNA from 2 species